rnacentral:rRNA from 1 species
CUUAGGAGUUUGAUCCUGGCUCAGGAUGAACGCUAGCGGCGUGCUUAACACAUGCAAGUCGAACGAGAAUCUACUGAAAGAGUUUUCGGACAAUGGAUGUAGAGGAAAGUGGCGGACGGGUGAGUAACGCGUGAGGAACCUGCCUUGAAGAGGGGGACAACAGUUGGAAACGACUGCUAAUACCGCAUGACGCAUAGGGGUCGCAUGAUCUUUAUGCCAAAGAUUUAUCGCUUCAAGAUGGCCUCGCGUCUGAUUAGCUGGUUGGCGGGGUAACGGCCCACCAGGGCGACGAUCAGUAGCCGGACUGAGAGGUUGAACGGCCACAUUGGGACUGAGAUACGGCCCAGACUCCUACGGGAGGCUGCAGUGGGGAAUAUUGGGCAAUGGGCGCAAGCCUGACCCAGCAACGCCGCGUGAAGGAAGAAGGCUUUCGGGUUGUAAACUUCUUUUAAGAGGGAAGAGGAGAAGACGGUACCUCUAGAAUAAGCCACGGCUAACUACGUGCCAGCAGCCGCGGUAAUACGUAGGUGGCAAGCGUUGUCCGGAUUUACUGGGUGUAAAGGGCGUGCAGCCGGGUCUGCAAGUCAGAUGUGAAAUCCAUGGGCUCAACCCAUGAACUGCAUUUGAAACUGUAGAUCUUGAGUGUCGGAGGGGCAAUCGGAAUUCCUAGUGUAGCGGUGAAAUGCGUAGAUAUUAGGAGGAACACCAGUGGCGAAGGCGGAUUGCUGGACGAUAACUGACGGUGAGGCGCGAAAGUGUGGGGAGCAAACAGGAUUAGAUACCCUGGUAGUCCACACUGUAAACGAUGAAUACUAGGUGUGCGGGGACUGACCCCCUGCGUGCCGCAGUAAACACAAUAAGUAUUCCACCUGGGGAGUACGAUCGCAAGGUUGAAACUCAAAGGAAUUGACGGAAGGGCUGAAUU